UAAUUAGUGAAAUAAAGAUCAUCAAAUCUAUGCCAUUAAUAUAUGUGCUAAACAAAAAUCAAUAUUAAAGAAAUUAGAGUUUCAUUGACUUACUAGAGUUUCAUUUCAAAGAAAUUACAAAUGUCAAUCCUGUUAGACUAGAGACUACAGUAGACUUAUUAGUCGUGAAGAUCAAUUACCAUCUCCUCAAGUUUUGUGGAGAGAGAUGAUGCUGCUUAGUUCGGAGGAAGUGACGCUCGUGAACCCCCCAUGGAGAUUGUUACAGCAGAGAAACCCUAGCCGAUGCCGAUGUCGGUGGCUAGCAAGGAAGGGAGUCUCAACCCUCAAGUCAUUCCACUUGCCUUACCUUAAAAGCUAGCAUAUUUAAGUAUUAUUUUAUUAUUUUUAAAUUAACAAUAACCCAACUUUUAUCAUUUAAAAAAAAAAAAUAUAAAUAAAACAAUAAAUUUUGACACAACUGAUGAAAGAAAAAUAUUGACAAUAGCGGCAUUUCCCCCGAUGAGCACACUUACAGCCUGCUCAUUGAUGCCUACGCGAAUGCGGGCAGGUGGGAAAGCACAAGAAUUGUGUUGAAAGAGAUGGAAUCUGGCAAUGUGCAGACCAAUUCUUAUGUUUUCAGCAGGAUUUUAGCCAGCUACCGCGAUAGAGGGGAGUGGCAAAAGUCGUUCCAAGUUUUGAGGGAGAUGAAGAGCAGUGGAGUAAGACCCGAUAGGCAUUUUUACAAUGUCAUGAUUGACACUUUUGGAAAGUCCAAUUGUCUUGAUCAUGCUAUGGCUACCCUUGAAAGGAUGCUAUCUGAGGGAAUCCACCCGGACACCAUCACCUGGAAUACGCUUAUAGAUUGUCAUUGCAAGUCAAGCCGCCAUGUAAGGGCAGAGGAGCUGUUUGAGGAAAUGCAGCAAAGUGGGUGUGCCCCUUGCGCCACCACCUAUAACAUCAUGAUCAAUUCCUUUGGGGAGCAGCAAAGGUGGGAUGAUGUGAAAGGCUUGUUGGGGAAGAUGCAGGCUCAGGGUUUACUGCCCAACAUAGUUACGUAUACCACAUUGGUUGACAUUCAUGGAAAGUCGGGGAGAUUUACUGAUGCAAUAGAGUGUUUGGAGGUUAUGAAGUCUGCAGGCAUGAAACCAUCCCCGGCAAUGUACAAUGCCUUAAUUAAUGCCCAUGCACAAAGAGGUUUGUCGGAGCAAGCACUGAACGCGUUUAAGGUAAUGAGAGCAGAUGGAUUAGAACCCAGUCCCUUGGCUCUCAAUUCGUUAAUCAAUGCAUUUGGUGAAGAUAGAAGGGAUACUGAGGCCUUUUCUGUGUUGCAGUACAUGAAGGAAAAUGACCUGAAACCAGAUGUAGUUACGUAUACCACACUUAUGAAAACCCUUAUCCGUGUUGAUAAAUUUUAUAAGAUUCCAGCAGUGUAUGAAGAAAUGAUUAUGUCUGGUUGCACUCCAGAUAGGAAAGCUAGGGCUAUGUUAAGGUCUGCGCUGAAAUACAUGAAACAGACACUCAGAUCCUAAAUGACAUGAUUUGAGUCAUCCAGCCACAGUUAAAUGUGUUCACCUGCUAUGUUUGGUCUAGUCAGGAACGACGAGUCAUACUGGCCAUCGUGCAAGAGUAUCCAACAUCAAGGGAAAUUGUGUUCCAGAGUUUGGGAACAAUGACACUGAGCACAGCACACCCUAGUGACAAACACAAGAACAGCUGAAGAAAUACACCCCCAUC